rnacentral:rRNA from 1 species
AUUGAACGCUGGCGGCAGGCCUAACACAUGCAAGUCGAACGGUAACAGGAAGAAGCUUGCUUCUUUGCUGACGAGUGGCGGACGGGUGAGUAAUGUCUGGGAAACUGCCUGAUGGAGGGGGAUAACUACUGGAAACGGUAGCUAAUACCGCAUAACGUCGCAAGACCAAAGAGGGGGACCUUCGGGCCUCUUGCCAUCGGAUGUGCCCAGAUGGGAUUAGCUAGUAGGUGGGGUAACGGCUCACCUAGGCGACGAUCCCUAGCUGGUCUGAGAGGAUGUCCAGCCACACUGGAACUGAGACACGGUCCAGACUCCUACGGGAGGCAGCAGUGGGGAAUAUUGCACAAUGGGCGCAAGCCUGAUGCAGCCAUGCCGCGUGUAUGAAGAAGGCCUUCGGGUUGUAAAGUACUUUCAGCGGGGAGGAAGGGAGUAAAGUUAAUACCUUUACUCAUUGACGUUACCCGCAGAAGAAGCACCGGCUAACUCCGUG